UGGGGAAUAUUGCACAAUGGGGGAAACCCUGAUGCAGCGACGCCGCGUGAACGAAGAAGGUAUUCGUAUCGUAAAGUUCUGUCCUAUGGGAAGAUAAUGACAGUACCAUAGAAGAAAGCUCCGGCUAAAUACGUGACAGCAGCCGCGGUAAUACGUAUGGAGCGAGCGUUGUCCGGAAUUAUUGGGCGUAAAGGGUACGCAGGCGGUUUAAUAAGUCGAAUGUUAAAGAUCGGGGCUCAACCCCGCAAAGCAUUGGAAACUGAUAAACUUGAGUAGUGGAGAGGAAAGUGGAAUUCCUAGAGUAGUGGUGAAAUACGUAGAUAUUAGGAGGAAUACCAGUAGCGAAGGCGACUUUCUGGACACAAACUGACGCUGAGGUACGAAAGCGUGGGGAGCAAACAGG
rnacentral:rRNA from 1 species